UACAGAGGGGGCAAGCGUUAUUCGGAAUUAUUGGGCGUAAAGGGCGCGUAGGCGGCCUGACAAGUGGAAGGUGAAAUCCCUCGGCUUAACCGAGGAACUGCCCUCCAAACUGUUUGGUCUUGAGACCGGGAGAGUGAGUGGAAUUCCCAGUGUAGCGGUGAAAAUGCGUAGAUAUUGGGAGGAACACCAGUGGCGAAAGGCGGCUCACUGGACCGGUACUGACGCUGAGGCGCGAAAAAGCGUGGGGGGAGCAAAACAGGGAUUUA
rnacentral:rRNA from 1 species